ensembl:lncRNA novel transcript, antisense to PACRG
AGAUGGAGUACCACAGUCAGAUCUUGAGUACUGUAGAGAGAGCUCACUGCUGUAAGAGUCAAUCAUAGCAAGCCGUGGCAAAAGAGCCAUUGCUACUGAGCCCUAAUUCACAGGACAGUGACUCAGACCACGGAUUUGGAGAAGGAUUGCCAGGUUCAAGCCCCACUCAUCACUAACGAGUUAUAAGAAAGAGGUGGCAUAUGGUGGCAGCCGCCCUCCAUCUGCAAUGAGAAAGGACAGCUGUGUUGAAACUGAAAUACUUGAGCGAGCCCCGUCAAUGCAGGCAACUUUCUCUUUUGCUUCAAGCUCUGGUGAAGAAACCGAGGCCCAUUUCACCAACAAUGCAACUCACAUGAGAAGGCACUAUUUGCAUGUCAUGGCAGCAGACAGAGUGAAAAAGCCACUGUCAAACUUCACGUCCAACUGAUUUUAUAGAAAUGUGCUAGGCAUGAACCUCUACUGCACCCGGCCUAUCAGCACUUUUCAUUCGACCAUUCAUUCAUUUACUCCAAGGUGCUGUGUGUAAGCCAGCUUCCUGUGCUCAGAGAGCUCACAUGCAACAAACAUGCAGAUAAACAGUGGCAAUUGGCGGCAAAUGCAUGAAAGGAGAUACUUUCUGCUACAUGAAUAACACUCAUCAUAAUAAAUUACAACUGAGAGGAUAAAGCAGGGAGGGAAAUGGUCUCAGCCAACUUUACAAAAGGAGUCAAGUAGAACGUCUUGAAGAUAGUGACAUUUAAGCUGAGACCUAAGUCACGGGAAAGAGCAAACCACACCAUGCCGAGGCCCUCCAGGAGGAAACAGUCAGGGUUUUAAGGAAAGGAAAGAAUAUCAAAAUGGACAGAACUUGGGAGCAAGGGGCAGACAGGGGCCAGGAAGAGAGAUUAGGGUUUUAAAAUAAGUGCAAUGGUAAGUCCUUGCAGUGGAGUGAUACAAUCUGAGUGACAUUUGAAGGUCACUUUUGCUUCUUGUGGCUAUGGAAUAGUGGGGGGAGAUGGGUGGCAAGAGAGACAGUGGAGCGACAAGGGGGUUGGUUGUAGUAUUUCAGGCAAGAGAUGAUGGGGUAGCAAUGGACAGAAGAGAUGAUGGGGUAGCAGUGGACAGGAGAGAGAGAGGGCAGGAAUUUGAUGUAUGUUUGGAGAUGAUAACAUCAAAGGUUCUCACCAAUCCCUUGAAACGGGAGGAUGAGGUGAAAUGGAGGAAAUAGAAGUAACUCUCGGUUUUCUGUCUUGAACCUGAGCAGUAAUAUACAGCAGUCAGCAGUAAGUACCAUUAUUCUGACAUUCCUAAGAUGAAAAUCUAUACCAAGUACUACAUAAGUGAAUACAAUUAGUUACCGGACCUCUAUUAGUGUCUAACUUAAAAUUAGGGAAAAAGUAAGACAUAGGUAAGACUCCAGUCUGUUACUUUUUUUUUUUUUUUUU